GUUCAUCAUGCAGGAUCUCAGAGCAUCGUUCUGAGAGGAAAACACACUGAUGUGAUCUUCCGGAUGGACUGUGCUCCACCGAAGAAUUCUAUGGAAGUGUAUUGUAAUGUUCUCUGUGGGUCUUCAGAUGAGUUCAGCCCAGCUCCAGAGUUUGACAAAAAAUCGCAGCACACACGCCGUCCGAAUAAUGCUGCAAACAGGAGCACUUCUGAUGGCAUCUUCAUCUUCCUGUCCAUCAUCAUCAUCUUCAUUUUUGUCACCUAGUUUUAUUGGGACGUUUCUGUAGGUUUUGUGGUGACGAAUUUGGAUUCUGUGACGUGGAGACCAAACCCAGAGAUGAGCCGCAAAAACACCGCAGAAAUCA